GAUGAAGAACGCAGCGAAAUGCGAUAAGUAAUGUGAAUUGCAGAAUUCAGUGAAUCAUCGAAUCUUUGAACGCACAUUGCGCCCCCUGGUAUUCCGGGGGGCAUGCCUGUCAGAGCGUCAUUACAACCCUCAAGCUCAGCUUGGUGUUGGGCCCCGCCGCCCCGGCGGGCCCUAAAGUCAGUGGUGGUGCCGUCCGGCUCCGAGCGUAGUAAUUCUUCUCGCUCUGGAGGUCCGGUCGUGUGCUCGCCAGCAACCCCCAAUUUUUUUCAGGUUGACCUCGGAUCAGGUAGGGAUACCCGCUGAACUUAAGCAUAUCAAUAAGCGGAGGA
rnacentral:misc_RNA from 1 species